rnacentral:lncRNA from 1 species
CGGCCUCGCUCUUGCGCACGGGACCACAAUGCUCCGCGCCGCUUGUCAUUGGGAGGCGCCGAAGGUGGAGAGGUCGGCUCGGAAGGAAAAGCAAUCACAGGAAUAUAUAAAACAUGAGCAGAAAGAGGCCUUUGGAGAAAUCUGGACCAGCAUUCUCAUUUUACGGAUGAGGGACCACGGCCCAUGGAGGUUUCCAUAGAUGAUUGGAAAAACCCAAGAGUUGGUCCUCUGUUCCAGACCCCACACAGACACAAACCUACAAGCCAAGGGAGCCAGUAUUUGGCCAUUCGUCCAUCCAUCUGCAUGUCCCAGGGAUGCACGAACAGGGAACACUUCAGCCUUUCGGCUGCCUUCAAAGAAGCAAUGAGAGAGAGAGAGAGGGUUACUUUGAUGAGUGAGCAGAUACCAGGUACUGUUUUGGGGAAACUGCUUUUCUCUGAGUCUAUAUUGGUCUGCACAAAUAAACUAAAAUGCUUUUUAAGUUGUUUUAUGAUCUAUAUAGAAGAGAUAUUGACAAACUUCUCCUGCUUAGAAAAUAAAAGGGACACUUGGAAUUAACAAAGGGGGUUGGUAGAUUUACCAUUGAGGUUGAUGAACUUAAUAUAUCAUCUGGUAAAACAAGCGUCAGGAAAUAUCCAUCAUUCAAAUGUUUUGGCUGACAGCAAAAUGCUCAAGGACUAAUCCCACAGCUGAAAUGUAGGGGAAAAUUUCCCCUACAUUUGGCUCCUUCUGGCUCCUACUUGGUCUACACUUUUGGAAGGACUGCUGAGAUUGUAUCCUUGGAGUCAGGGCGAGAGUGCCCCCUCCUUUUCCCCACUUGGAAACCAGAGUUUGUGGAAAGUGAAGAAGUGAUGUGCUGGAGCCAGAGGCUCAGUGCUGGGCUGGGGCUGGCUGGCCUGACCCAAGCCACCUGGUUACUCAGAGCCCAGCACUGGGUGGAAUCCCUGGGGUCUACAGGCAUUCACCCAUCCCCAGAAGCCCAGAUGAGUCUCUGAACAGUUGGCUGUGAGUGAGAUGACCUCAGAAAUGGAAGAGGUCAGUGCCUUAGCCAGACAGGCACUGACAUGAAUGUCAUAGGCAUGCUCCAGGGCCUUCUGAGAAAUGGAAAUACCAUCUGGAUGGAAUGACCUUUAUGCAACAAAAAGUUUAAUUAAAAGAAGUCUCCUCAACAGGCAUUGAAUAUUAGUGCUCGUCAAGAUUCAAAAGAGAUUUCCCUUAGAAUAAUUCCUCACCACAUAUAUUGAGGUUCUGGAGUGAUUCAUCCUACCCUCAUACAUAAAUGUUUGUGCUAACCAGGCUGAUGCAAUGUGACUUGUGUACAUAAGCAUUUUUAAAAUGGAAAAGCAAUUCUGGGACAACAAGGGAUUCUGGAAGUGUCAGGAAAAGGGUCUGUGCUUGAUGUAGCCCCGCAGUUCUCAUCCUAGGUUGAGCCGAGCCUGGAGUCUAAAAUUUAUGACCCUGGGAGUGGUUUUGGUCUGAGCAUAUGCCGGGAAGCAUCUACAAUCUGAAAGUGUUUGACUGACAAUAACCAGUGUCUCACAGCAUUUAUGAGCAUGCCAAAUAAACAAUUGAAAACAUUCAAGGAAAUUCAGUUUUAUAUACAAGAGAUAUGUUUCUGAAAUGGGCAUGUAUGAAUCAAAGUGGAUGAACUGAAUGACAUUGUUAAUGUCUUGAAGACAUCACACCUCCAUGAGGUGAAUAAUGAGCCUCCUGGGUGAUGAAACCAGAUAUUUAUCUCCUCAGAAGGAUUUUCUAAAAAUCAAAUGAUGUCUAGGAUUUUGUCUUCUA